AGCCGGGUGGCGCAAUGGUAGCGCAGCAGACUUCUAAUCUGAAGGUUGUGGGUUCGAGUCCCACCCUGGUUG
rfam:Ichthyophthirius multifiliis unplaced genomic scaffold scaff_1120509250845, whole genome shotgun sequence.